AGUAACACGUGGACAACCUGCCUCAAGGCUGGGGAUUACAUUUGGAAACAGAUGCUAAUACCGAAUGAAACUUAGUGUCGCAUGACACGAAGUUAAAAGGCGCUUUGGCGUCACCUAGAGAUGGAUCCGCGGUGCAUUAGUUAGUUGGAGGGGUAAAGGCCUACCAAGACAAUGAUGCAUAGCCGAGUUGAGAGACUGAUCGGCCACAUUGGGACUGAGACACGGGCCAAACUUCUACGGGAGGCUGCAGUAGGGAAUCUUCCACAAUGGGCGAAAGCCUGAUGGAGCAACGCCGCGUGUGUGAUGAAGGCUUUCGGGUCGUAAAGCACUGUUGUAUGGGAAGAACAGCUAGAAUAGGGAAUGAUUUUAGUUUGACGGUACCAUACCAGAAAGGGACGGCUAAAUACGUGCCAGCAGCCGCGGUAAUACGUAUGUCCCGAGCGUUAUCCGGAUUUAUUGGGCGUAAAGCGAGCGCAGACGGUUGAUUAAGUCUGAUGUGAAAGCCCGGAGCUCAACUCCGGAAUGGCAUUGGAAACUGGUUAACUUGAGUGCAGUAGAGG
rnacentral:rRNA from 1 species